rnacentral:rRNA from 1 species
AUGGCUCAGGACGAACGCUGGCGGCGUGCCUAAUACAUGCAAGUCGAGCGAAUGAUUAGAGAAGCUUGCUUCUCUCUGAUUAGCGGCGGACGGGUGAGUAACACGUGGGUAACCUACCCUAUAGACUGGGAUAACUUCGGGAAACCGGAGCUAAUACCGGAUAAUACUUCGAAACACAUGUUUUGAAGUUGAAAGAUGGUUUCGGCUAUCACUAUAGGAUGGACCCGCGGCGCAUUAGCUAGUUGGUGAGGUAACGGCUCACCAAGGCAACGAUGCGUAGCCGACCUGAGAGGGUGAUCGGCCACACUGGGACUGAGACACGGCCCAGACUCCUACGGGAGGCAGCAGUAGGGAAUCUUCCACAAUGGACGAAAGUCUGAUGGAGCAACGCCGCGUGAGUGAAGAAGGAUUUCGGUUCGUAAAACUCUGUUGCGAGGGAAGAACAAGUAGCGUAGUAACUGGCGCUACCUUGACGGUACCUUGUUAGAAAGCCACGGCUAACUACGUGCCAGCCGCAGC